CUCACUUCUUUCCUCUUUCCACAAAACCCUACUCUCCCUUUAGCAAUGGCAGAUUUUGCCUAUCCAUUUUCGUGCAACGUUCUCUCUCUCAUUCCUCUGUCCUCUCUCUUUCCUCUUCACGCCUCUUCCUCCAUUUUUAGCAAAAGCACAGAUCCCUUUAGCCAAAGCAGUCCAUGUCCACCCAUUUCCACACAAGAAAACAUCCAAACGUCUCCUUUCCCCGAGCUCUGUCGUUGACAGAGAAAGAAAUCCCUCUUCUAGCUUCAAACACGAGUCGAUCCUCACAGACCAUAAAUGGUCGAACCUUUUCGGUAACCCGAAUGGAAUCACGUGACCAUCUGCUUUGGAUGGUCCAUUGGAUUCAACUUUGAAUCAAUUUCAUUAUCCCGCCCGAAAAACCCUAGCCUUUUACCUAUAAAUAUGAUCUUAAGUCCAUAGCCGAAAGGAGGUUCUUUUUUUAGCAACUGGAAUUCUCUGAAAAUACCAAAAAAUAGUCUCAUUUUGUUACUUGACAUCAACUUUAAGAUACAAAACAUUUUUACUCUCUUUCACUCUAUUACUGUUUUGGAAUCCGAGCAUACGCAAGCUCGGAGAUAUUAAUAGUCGAGCGUAGAUCCGCGACCCUGCACCCCAUUCAUUGCACUCAAAAAAGUUCUCAAAAGGUAGACACAAUUCUUUCACUACCCGGAGGAGAAUCAAAGAGGAAAAAAUGAAGACUCGUAGUAUGGAUUCAUCUCAAUCACGCAGAGAUAAUGGGAAGAUCCAACUGCAUUAACGUUUUGUACAAAUUUAGGGGAAAUGACAUACUCCUGCGUUGUUCAAUUUCGUAUGUUUUUUAUUUUUCCCGACUAAUCAUCCUCCAUUUUUUUCUAUUUAUAUGUAUUUGUUAAGUAACUUGUAUAGAUGACACUAACCUGCAGUUGGAGUACUUGGAAGAAAAGAUAAUCAAAGAUCUGUAUCCUGAAUUCAUUAGCUAUCUAAUAUAUCUGGACGAAUAAACAACUGAGAAGGAAAUUAAUGAUGUUGAAUCCUAGAAAGAAUAAUAGGGUGAUUUGUUUCUAAGUAUAAGAUUUCACUCUUCUUGAUU